UCCAAUAACAUUUGGAAAAAAAAAAAAUAGGACUUCGUUUAGUUUACCAUUUUUGAUUUCGCAAUUUAGUCUAUAGCUAUCUUUCAAAUACAAAGCAGUUCCAAUUUUAUUUUAAAUAUAUGCAAGAUUAAUCACCAAGUAAAGCUGAUUUUGUGUAUGCAGCUUUUAUUUCUGAAAAUGCAGUGACAGACUAUAUUUGAAAGUUAAUUAAUACCGGUGAGCUACUAAAAAUGAAAGGGAAUAAUAUAAGAGGUUGGUUUCCUUGUAACUUCUAUGUAUGCGCAUGUUUGCUAGACAGCAUUAGAAAAUCGUAUUAUCUGCCAGUUCAAGUUGUUAAAGCGUGAUAAGGCCCUUAUCUAUAACAUGUGUACGUCCCAGGUUUCUGUGGCUAGCCAGUCUGGUUCAAUUUGCAAUUCACACAUUCUAAGAAAAACGUUUAACAGUCGCGGUAUUGGGAGAAAUGGUACACCGGUGACGGGGGACGGUUGUAACACCUUGAAUUUCUCCAAUCAGAAGCAAGCUAGAGUGCCAUCACUCACUCAUUGCAAACACUCAGGACAAUGCUCCAUGCCACACAGCCAGGUCAAUC